CCUCAGCCUCCCAAAGUGCUGGGAUUACAGGUGUGACUUGGAAAAAGUGUAAUGGUACAGUUUGUAGCAGGCUAAUAAUGCUCCCACCAAGAACAGUAAGAAAAGCUGGAUAAAAUGAAUCAGGGAGCUGCCAAAGCAAACAGGCCUAGAGGAGCCAAAAUUCCAGAAAGAGGUGAACUCUAGGAGGUAAGCUGAUAUUCCGCAGCAGAUUUUUUUCCUGGAGGAUUUGCCAAUUCAGGGCACAGGGCUAGAUGCUGAGAAUCUGGGCCUUGCUCAGGUAAAGAACAAAUUACUGAGGGAAAAUUUAACUAGUAGGAGAGUUGGCAGUCUUUACUUUUUAAAAUUUUUUUAUUUAUUAAUUUUACUUUGAGACAGAGUCUUGCUCUGUCACCCAGGCUGGAGUGCAGUGGCACGAUCUCAGCUCACUGCAACCUCUGCCUCCCCAGGCCAAGCACUUCUCAUGUCUCAGCCUCCCGAGUAGCUGGGAUAACAGGCAUGCACCACCAUGCCUGGCUAAUUUUUU
rnacentral:lncRNA from 10 species